rnacentral:misc_RNA from 1 species
GAAAUGCGAUAAGUAAUGUGAAUUGCAGAAUUCAGUGAAUCAUCGAAUCUUUGAACGCACCUUGCGCUCCCUGGCAUUCCGGGGGGCAUGCCUGUCCGAGCGUCAUUGCUGCCCUUCAAGCCCGGCUUGUGUGUUGGGUCGUCGUCCCCUCCGGGGGACGGGCCCGAAAGGCAGCGGCGGCACCGCGUCCGGUCCUCGAGCGUAUGGGGCUUUGUCACCCGCUCGAUAAGGACCGGCCGGGCGCCAGCCGGCGUCUCCAACCUUUUUUUCUCAGGUUGACCUCGGAUCAGGUAGGGAUACCCGCUGAACUUAAGC